GUGGGGAAUCUUAGACAAUGGGCGCAAGCCUGAUCUAGCCAUGCCGCGUGAGCGAUGAAGGCCUUAGGGUUGUAAAGCUCUUUCGUGGGGGAAGAUAAUGACUGUACCCCAAGAAGAAGCCCCGGCUAACUCCGUGCCAGCAGCCGCGGUAAUACGGAGGGGGCUAGCGUUGUUCGGAAUUACUGGGCGUAAAGCGCACGUAGGCGGCCUGGAAAGUCAGGGGUGAAAUCCCGGGGCUCAACCCCGGAACUGCCUUUGAAACUCCCAGUCUUGAGUUCGAGAGAGGUGAGUGGAAUUCCGAGUGUAGAGGUGAAAUUCGUAGAUAUUCGGAGGAACACCAGUGGCGAAGGCGGCUCACUGGCUCGAUACUGACGCUGAGGUGCGAAAGCGUGGGGAGCAAACAGGAUUAGAAACCCCUGUAGUCC
rnacentral:rRNA from 1 species